UUAAUGGUAAUUCUGAGUAACUAUGUUCUGCAGGAGGGUUAUUUUGUAGUCAUUCUGUUGAUCUUCUUAUGUUAGCUCUAAAUAUAAUUGCUCGGUUUGUAACCAUUCUUUCUCAUAUAAUUACAAUGAAUAUAAUGAUUCCUACAAUAGAAAUUGUAGACACAAUUCUUGAUACUACAUUUCAUGAUGUAUAUGCGUCUGGGUAGUCUGAGUAUCGUCGAGGUAUUCCUGCUAAUCCUAGGAAGUGUUGAGGAAAGAAUGUUAAGUUUACUCCAAUGAAUAUAAUUGUAAAUUGAAUUUUUAAUCAUGUAUUAUUUAUAGUUAAUCCUGUAAAUAGUGGAUAUCAUUGAAUGACACCUCCUAUAAUUGCAAAUACUGCUCCUAUAGAUAAUACAUAAUGAAAGUGGGCUACUACAUAAUAUGUAUCAUGUAAUACAAUAUCAAGUGAUGAAUUUGCUAAUACUAAUCCUGCUAAUCCACCAAUUGUAAAUAGGAAAAUAAAUCCUAGAGCUCAUAAUAAUGGUGGAUUGAACUUGAAUUUAGUUCCAUAUAAUGUAGCUAAUCAUCUAAAUACCUUAAUUCCUGUGGGUACAGCAAUAAUUAUUGUUGCUGAUGUAAAAUAUGCUCGUGUGU